UCGUAGUGUUAACUUCAUUGGAAAACUGAAAUGACCUAUUUGUCCUCAUCUUCUUCAAUCACGUAACAUUUCACCUCCCUUUCUGUACAUUUUUUUACCGCUGCCUGCUCUCGUCUUCUCUCCGCGGAAUCAUCAAUUAGCACCGGCUUCUUCAGGGACUUCGAGUUAAAUACCCACGACUACCAAGGUGCCGGUGGGCGGAUUUUAUGUGGAUGGUGUGCUGACACGUGGCAGAAAUGGUGAUCCAAAAGCAAAAUAAACGUGCAAACAACAACAACAACAGUAUUUUUUGUAUGUAUCGCCAUGAAAAUAGAUCUAAAUUAGGGUUUUUGGGUAGUGACAAGUUAAAAUAGGUAGAGAGAGGAAGUGAUUUGAGGUUGUGACAUUAGAGGGGAAGAGGUAUAUAUCGAAAAUGAUGAAGGGAACAUGAUGGUCAUAACCAACAAUGCAAAGGUAAGUGUAAGAUCGAUGCACAUGUGCCGUUUUUGGAAAAAUUAAUGUAAUUAAAGUAAUGAACAUGCGAAUAUUUCCAAACAUGGCAAGGAUAACAUUUUCAUGACUAUAAAAGGGAUUUCCCCA